CAGCCGCCGCGGUAAAACGGAGGGUGCAAGCGUUAUCCGGAUUCACUGGGUUUAAAGGGUGCGUAGGCGGGCAGGUAAGUCAGUGGUGAAAUCUUCGAGCUUAACUCGGAAACUGCCGUUGAUACUAUCUGUCUUGAAUAACGUUGAGGUGAGCGGAAUAUGUCAUGUAGCGGUGAAAUGCUUAGAUAUGACAUAGAACACCGAUUGCGAAGGCAGCUCACUAAACGCUCAUUGACGCUGAGGCACGAAAGCGUGGGGAUCAAACAGGAUUAGAUACCCCUGUAGUCCCUGUCUCUUAUAC
rnacentral:rRNA from 1 species